CUACCCUUGACAUGCCACUAACGAAGCAGAGAUGCAUUAGGUGCCCGAAAGGGAAAGUGGACACAGGUGCUGCAUGGCUGUCGUCAGCUCGUGUCGUGAGAUGUUGGGUUAAGUCCCGCAACGAGCGCAACCCUUGUCUCUAGUUGCUACGAAAGGGCACUCUAGAGAGACUGCCGGUGACAAACCGGAGGAAGGUGGGGAUGACGUCAAGUCCUCAUGGCCCUUAUGGGUAGGGCUUCACACGUCAUACAAUGGUGCGUACAGAGGGUUGCCAACCCGCGAGGGGGAGCUAAUCCCAGAAAACGCAUCGUAGUCCGGAUCGUAGUCUGCAACUCGACUACGUGAAGCUGGAAUCGCUAGUAAUCGCGGAUCAGCAUGCCGCGGUGAAUACGUUCCC
rnacentral:rRNA from 1 species